AUGGGUCAAGGCACGGAGGUGAAGACCAGGGAGGACCCCAAAGUGGAGAUCCAGGAGAAGGGCGAGGUGUUCUUCUUCUACCGGCCCAAGGUGGACAAGGAGAAGGCGCACGGCCCCGACGACGUGCAGCGGAUGUACGUCGUGCUGCGCCCGGAGUCCGUCCCCGACCGCGCCGUCGAGGAGAAGCAGGCGCCGGACUCCGGCAAGGAGGGCAAGAAGAGGAAGACCCGCCACGGCGGCGAUGAGAAGGGGCAGGCGGACGGCGGCAACGAAGGCGGCCACGGGAAGGAGGAGGUGAACGUGGAGGAGAAGCCGCUGCUCCGGCUGAUCGUGAUGGGGAAGAAGAGCCUGCCGGACCCGGCGAAGCACGGCCGGCCCUUCUGGGGCUACGUCGACCUCGUCACGACCGACAUCGAGGACAUCAAGGACGCGCUCAAGGGGGCGGAGUACGACACGGCGACGCGCGGCAAGCGGCGCCAGUCCGCGGCGAGGGCGAUGGGCGAGGGCGUGUACCGCAUCCUCAAGCACGAGGGCCGCGGCGGCCGCCCGCACACCCACCUCGUCUACAAGCUCGAGCUGCCCUCGCGCGGCGGCGAGGAGGGCGCCGUCGGGGAGCCGCAGGAGGCCAUGAACGUGGAGCCGGAGGCGUCGUUCCUGGUGCAGAUCAAGAACCCCGAGCAGCGCGGCGGGGGCAGGGGCGGGGGCGGAGGCGGAGGGUUCGGCGGGCUGCAGGGCAAGCGGAAGGCCGCGUUCCCGGAGCACCUGCAGGGGCGGUUCGGGAGCAACCGCUACGCGCCGGCCGACCCGCCGGACCUGCUCAACUACGAGGGGUGCGAGCUGCUGCUGAUCUCGGCGUCCGACGACGUGGAGGAGGAGCUGGGCCUGGAGCUGCAGACGGAGACGGAGGAGGAGACGGAGCGAGGCGCUGGUGGUGAUGGCGGCGAGGGCGGCCGCGCCGGGGCGGGGUGCUCAGACCUGGUGAAGAUGUUCGGCGAGGUGGCCGACGUGAAGCCGCUGCUCAGCGGGAGCUGGGACUAG
rnacentral:rRNA from 1 species